UUUGAAAAAUAAGUGGAUGGCAUUUAGGCCACUAAACUGUACCACUUUCCUUUUCCUGAAAGAUUUCAAUUCCAAUAUUUGAUUUCUUUUUGUCAUAUAGCCAAUUAUCAAAUCGGAUAGUUCUUCUUAUUCUGCUCAAAGGUUAUGCUGGAGUUGGUGUUCUGCCAGCAGCUUUAAAUAUAUUCUUGUGGAUGCGUUGGGAGGGGUUAAAUGGUAGGAAAUAUUUUGGCAAUUUAUUUGAUCUCCAAAUAGAAGUUAAUUAUCUAAAUCAAGAUUAAUUCAAGCUCAAGUUCUAGCGGGGUACUAUUUGGAGGCUUCACAAGAAGAUAUUAUAGCUUUGGCGUCCAGAUCCGGCCCUAGCAGUCGACAUUGAUGUGAUUCUUGCCUUUCAGUACUGAUUCAGAGCAUGGUGAUCUUGCUGUCAUCCGAGGCUGUUUUUUCUCUAUCUACUCCAACUGACUGACCUGGUCUUUCUUCUGAGCGUGAUAUGUGCGCCCAAUAUCUCUACCUGUGUGGCCCUUCAGCUAUUUUUCUUAUCUUUUACUUUCGCGGACGAAAGUCCUUUUAGUAGUGGAUAUUGUAAUGACCCUUUCGGUCAUUUUCCUAUAUUUUCGUAUAAUUUUAUACUAUAAUAAGUGACUUUUAUGAUUUAUUAAUAUUUUAAGUGGAGGUAGUAAAUUUUGAAAUGUUAAAAUAUUAUUACUAUAUAACAGAGGUUUUGUUAGAAAUAUUUUUAUAUUAAUUUUGAUAUAUUUAAAUUAUUGUAAUUAUUUACCACGAAUUUAUGCAAUACCCGAUUAUGUACACUUGCGUAGAAAAUUAUUUGAUGUGGACGCCAUUACCACACGUUGAAAUUGGAAUGGUGGACCACAAGGUUGCUUCCAUUUGUUUUCCACUUUAGGCUAACUUUGCUUAUAUAUAUAUAUUUAGUAGCUUUAACUUUUUUUAAAAAUAAGUGAAUGGCAUUUAGGCCACUAAACUGUACCACUUUCCUUUUCCUGAAAGAUUUCAAUUCCAAUAUUUGAUUUCUUUUUGUCAUAUAGCCAAUUAUCAAAUCGGAUAGUUCUUCCUAUUCUGCUCAAAGGUUACGCUGGAGUUGGUGUUCUGCCAACAGCUUUAAUUAUAUUCUUGUGGAUGCGUUGAGAGGGGUUAAAUGGUAGCAAAUAUUUUGGCAAUUUAUUUGAUCUCCAAAUAGAAGUCAAUUAUCUAAAUCAAGAUUAAUUCAAGAUCGAGUUCUAGCGGGGUACUAUUUGGAGGCUUCACGAGAAGAUAUUAUAGCUUUGGCGUCUAGGUAGGCAAGGUUUACCCUAUCUUUAGAUUGAGCUUAUUUAUAGAAAAUGUUAACUAUUAUGUUAGUUUUGGAUAAAUCCUUGUAGAUGCGUAUUUUUUUGAUAUAUAUGAACUGUCUUAUUUAUCCGGAUUAGGACCCUGUUUUAAUAAAUAUUGAAAUAUUAUGUUUUAACAUAAUAUAAC